UACGUAGGCAGCGAGCGUUGUUCGGAGUUACUGGGCGUAAAGGGUGUGUAGGCGGUUUUUUAAGCCAGACGUGAAAUCCCCGGGCUUAACCUGGGAAUGGCGUUUGGGACUGGGAGUCUGGAGUGCGGCAGAGGAGACUGGAAUUCCUGGUGUAGCAGUGAAAUGCGUAGAUAUCAGGAGGAACACCGAUGGCGAAGGCAGGUCUCUGGGCUGACACUGACGCUCAUGCACGAAAGCGUGGGGAGCAAACAGG
rnacentral:rRNA from 1 species